rnacentral:rRNA from 1 species
AACGUAGGACGCAAGCGUUAUCCGGAGUACUGGCGUAAAGCGUGCGCAGGCGGCUUUGCAAGACAGAUGUGAAAUCCCCGGGCUUAACCUGGGAACUGCCAUUUGUGACUGCAUGGCUGGAGUGCGGCAGAGGGGAUGGAAUCCGGCGUGUAGCAGUGAAAUGCGUAGAUAUGCGGAGGAACACCGAUGGCGAAGGCAAUCCCCUGGGCCUGCACUGACGCUCAUGCACGAAAGCGU